rnacentral:rRNA from 1 species
AGUGAACGCUGGCGGUAGGCCUAACACAUGCAAGUCGAACGGCAGCACAGUAAGAGCUUGCUCUUACGGGUGGCGAGUGGCGGACGGGUGAGGAAUACAUCGGAAUCUGCUUUUUCGUGGGGGAUAACGUAGGGAAACUUACGCUAAUACCGCAUACGACCUACGGGUGAAAGCAGGGGAUCUUCGGACCUUGCGCGAUUGAAUGAGCCGAUGUCGGACUAGCUAGUUGGCGGGGUAAAGGCCCACCAAGGCGACGAUCCGUAGCUGGUCUGAGAGGAUGAUCAGCCACACUGGAACUGAGACACGGUCCAGACUCCUACGGGAGGCAGCAGUGGGGAAUAUUGGACAAUGGGCGCAAGCCUGAUCCAGCCAUACCGCGUGGGUGAAGAAGGCCUUCGGGUUGUAAAGCCCUUUUGUUGGGAAAGAAAAGCAGCAGGUUAAUACCCCGCUGUUCUGACGGUACCCAAAGAAUAAGCACCGGCUAACUUCGUG